GGAGAGUUUGAUCCUGGCUCAGGAUGAACGCUGGCGGUAUGCCUAACACAUGCAAGUCGAACGGUCACUUAGGUGAUAGUGGCGGACGGGUGAGUAACGCGUGAGAAUCUGCCCUCAGGAUGGGGACAACAGUUGGAAACGACUGCUAAUACCCGAUGUGCCGCAAGGUGAAAGAUUUAUCGCCUGAGGAGGAGCUCGCGUCUGAUUAGCUAGUUGGUAAGGUAAAGGCUUACCAAGGCAUCGAUCAGUAGCUGGUCUGAGAGGAUGAGCAGCCACACUGGGACUGAGACACGGCCCAGACUCCUACGGGAGGCAGCAGUGGGGAAUUUUCCGCAAUGGGCGAAAGCCUGACGGAGCAAUACCGCGUGAGGGAGGAAGGCUCUUGGGUUGUAAACCUCUUUUCUCUGGGAAGAAAAAAAUGACGGUACCAGAGGAAUAAGCAUCGGCUAACUCCGUGCCAGCAGCCGCGGUAAUACGGAGGAUGCAAGCGUUAUCCGGAAUCAUUGGGCGUAAAGCGUCCGUAGGUGGUUUUUCAAGUCUGCUGUCAAAGCCUGGGGCUUAACCCCAGAUAGGCAGUGGAAACUGGGAGACUAGAGUUCGGUAGGGGUAGCGGGAAUUCCCAGUGUAGCGGUGAAAUGCGUAGAUAUUGGGAAGAACAUCGGUGGCGAAGGCGCGCUACUGGGCCGAAACUGACACUCACAGGACGAAAGCUAGGGGAGCGAAAGGGAUUAGAUACCCCUGUAGUCCUAGCUGUAAACGAUGGAAACUAGGUGUGGCUUGUAUCGACCCGAGCCGUGCCGAAGCUAACGCGUUAAGUUUCCCGCCUGGGGAGUACGCACGCAAGUGUGAAACUCAAAGGAAUUGACGGGGGCCCGCACAAGCGGUGGAGUAUGUGGUUUAAUUCGAUGCAACGCGAAGAACCUUACCAGGGCUUGACAUGUCGCGAAUCUCUUAGAAAUAGGAGAGUGCCUUCGGGAACGCGAACACAGGUGGUGCAUGGCUGUCGUCAGCUCGUGUCGUGAGAUGUUGGGUUAAGUCCCGCAACGAGCGCAACCCUCGUUUUUAGUUGCCAUCAUUAAGUUGGGCACUCUAGAGAGACUGCCGGUGACAAACCGGAGGAAGGUGAGGAUGACGUCAAGUCAGCAUGCCCCUUACGCCCUGGGCUACACACGUACUACAAUGGUUGGGACAACGGGUAGCGACCCCGCGAGGGCAAGCGAAUCUCAUCAAACCCAGCCUCAGUUCAGAUUGCAGGCUGCAACUCGCCUGCAUGAAGGAGGAAUCGCUAGUAAUCGCAGGUCAGCAUACUGCGGUGAAUUCGUUCCCGGGCCUUGUACACACCGCCCGUCACACCAUGGAAGCUGGCCACACCCGAAGUCGUUACCCUAACCCUUGUGGAGGGGGACGCCGAAGGUGGGGCUAGUGACUGGGGUGAAGUCGUAACAAGGUAGCCGUACCGGAAGGUGUGGCUGGAUCACCUCCUU
rnacentral:rRNA from 1 species